rnacentral:rRNA from 1 species
UACGUAGGCAGCAAGCGUUGUUCGGAAUUACUGGGCGUAAAGAGUGUGUAGGCGGUGUUCUAAGUCUGGUGUGAAAUCUCCCGGCUCAACUGGGAGGGUGCGCCGGAAACUGGAAUGCUCGAGUAUGGGAGAGGUAAGCGGAAUUCCUGGUGUAGCGGUGAAAUGCGUAGAUAUCAGGAGGAACACCCGUGGUGUAGACAGCUUACUGGACCAUCACUGACGCUGAGACACGAAAGCGUGGGUAGCAAACAGG